rnacentral:rRNA from 1 species
UACGUAGGGUGCGGGCGUUAAUCGGAAUUACUGAGCGUAAAGCGUGCGCAGGUGGCUCCUUAAGUCAGAUGUGAAAGCCCCGGGCUUAACCUGGGAACUGCGUUUGAAACUGGGGAGCUAGAGUGUGGAAAAGGGGGGUGGAAUUCCAGGUGUAGCAGUGAAAUGCGUAAAGAUCUGGAGGAACACCGAUGGCGAAGGCAGCCCCCUGGGCUAACACUGACGCUCAUGCACGAAAGCGUGGGGAGCAAACAGG